UACGGGGGGAGCAAGCGUUGUUCGGAUUUACUGGGCGUAAAGGGCGCGUAGGCGGUCGUGACAAGUCACUUGUGAAAUCUCCGGGCUUAACUCGGAACGGUCAACUGAUACUGUGCGGCUAGAGUGCGGAAGGGGCAACUGGAAUUCUUGGUGUAGCGGUGAAAUGCGUAGAUAUCAAGAGGAACACCUGCGGCGAAGGCGGGUUGCUGGGCCGACACUGACGCUGAUGCGCGAAAGCCAGGGGAGCGAACGGG
rnacentral:rRNA from 1 species